CUCAUUGCCUACUAAUUGGCUGACACUUUCUAUUAAUUUCAUAAAAUUCCCUCAUUCAUUUAUGCUUGCUGAGAUGUUUUUGCUAGAGACCUCAAAUGGGUCUUUUACCAUGUCCAACACUUCAAUUAUUAGCAUACAAGCUAUAACUAUGGCAUAUUGUCUCAAUUUAACAAAUUGUAACCCCGUUGGUUGUAUCCAAACGGGUAACUUCACAACACAAUGCAAAGGGCUAUCAUCUAGUGAAGGAAUCUCACAAGGAUAAGGAGUGGAAAAUGCAUCAAGAGAAGAUCCCAACAAUCAGCGAUCAAUGGCACCAUUAGAACUCAUGAACUUGACUAAGGAUAGAACAGAUUACCUCUGUACAAUGUAAGCUUUGCUCUUUCCAUUCUCCAUUUGGAAAUUGUAUUUGUAUUUGCAAAACCA